rnacentral:rRNA from 1 species
CAGUAGCCGCGGGAAUACAGAGGAUCCAAGCGUUAUCCGGAAUCAUUGGGUUUAAAGGGUCCGUAGGCGGUCUUGUAAGUCAGUGGUGAAAGCCCAUCGCUCAACGGUGGAACGGCCAUUGAUACUGCAGGACUUGAAUUAUUGGGAAGUAACUAGAAUAUGUAGUGUAGCGGUGAAAUGCUUAGAGAUUACAUGGAAUACCAAUUGCGAAGGCAGGUUACUACCAAUUGAUUGACGCUGAUGGACGAAAGCGUGGGUAGCGAACAGGAUUAGAUACCCGAGUAGUCCCUGUCUCUUAUAC